rnacentral:rRNA from 1 species
GGGAUCAGUCUGACUUCUAGUCAGUACUUGGUCCUCUCAUGCCGUCCUUGAAUGGUGCAUCCUGGCAUUAAGUUGUCGGGGUGAGAGCCGUUCAUCGUUUACUGUGAGAAAAUUAGAGUGUUCAAAGCAGGCUUAUGCCGUUGAAUAUAUUAGCAUGGAAUAAUAAGAUAGGACUUUGGUACUAUUUUGUUGGUUUGAGAACCAAGGUAAUGAUCAAUAGGGACAGUUGGGGGUAUUCGUAUUCAGUUGUCAGAGGUGAAAUUCUUAGAUUUCCGGAAGACGAACUACUGCGAAAGCAUUUACCAAGGAUGUUUUCAUUAAUCAAGAACGAAAGUAUGGGGAUCGAAGAUGAUUAGAUACCAUCGUAGUCUAUACCAUAAACUAUGCCGACUCAGGAUGGGCGGG